rnacentral:lncRNA from 1 species
GCUUGUAAGGCUCUCAUCCCAUGGUGUCUUAAGGGUGCCUCCUAGCUCCUAAUGGGGCCCAGGCACGUUAGUGACAACCACACAGAGCUGGUGGAAGGCUAGGAGGUCUCAAGGCAUCCAAUGUGGAACUUGCAGUAUUGGUUUGUCAAGAGAUGAAACUACACCAGUUCAUUUAAGAGAGAACGUUUAUUAUGAAUAAUUAUUUACUAGGUAUAAAAGAACUGAAAAGGAAAAAGGGUAUAAACACGGAGGGAGGACUUAUCACUCUUCAGUCUUGGGGGCAAGAGAAGGGAGACAAAAACUGAAAAGAGAAGGAUGAUUAAAAUUGAGAAGCUUAGAGGAAGGGGCACUGCUCAACUGGUGCUGGUGUCUCUGAGCUCGGAGGCGCUGCCCCAUGGACCCAGGACCCACAUCUCUGAGAAGGGUGUGCCGCUGGCCGGUGCUGGUGUCUCUGAGGCAGCGUGACGAGGCUGGUUCUCCAAGUGCUGGAAGCGCUGCAAACUGGAUUCAGCUGCAGCUAUUGCAGGUUCCACUUCUUCCUCCACCAUCUGCUAGGAGUGCGAAGUAGGGGUUGUCUGAAGAGAUUUGAGUCCUGGGCUGAAAGGGGCUGAGGAUCUGGGCUGAGCUGGAGAAGCCGGAGAAGGUUUGAGGACUGGCCACAUUGGGCCCAUAAAGAGAGAUGCAGAGCAGCAAUGACCCCUUUGUUCAGUAUAAAACUACUCAUCUCCCUCUGAGCCAUCACAGCUGAUUGUAUGAAGCUUGGCCAGGACUCAAGGAAAACCAAUCUAUAGAUGUGACAGCAGCCUAUGAGGUGACUUUACCUUGCUUUACCUGAUCAGACUGAUGGCGACUAAACUGGAUCUUUUACUCUCUACUGCGUAGUUAGUUGAUAGGAUUAGAAGAGCAUGAGGACAAAGCCUUACACAUGAUUGUGACCUCCAUCGUGCCUGGAGUAGGGAUGACACAUGGGAGCUAUUCACCGAAUGUUUACUGAAUCAGUGAAUGAAAAGAUGGAAGGGCAAGAAAAGGAGGGAGCAGUAGAGGGAAAGAUUUUAAUUAAAU